rnacentral:rRNA from 1 species
AGCGAACGCUGGCGGCAGGCUUAACACAUGCAAGUCGAACGGGCACUUCGGUGUCAGUGGCAGACGGGUGAGUAACGCGUGGGAACAUACCUCUUGGUUCGGAACAACACAGGGAAACUUGUGCUAAUACCGGAUAAGCCCUUACGGGGAAGAUUUAUCGCCGAGAGAUUGGCCCGCGUCUGAUUAGCUAGUUGGUGUGGUAAAAGCGCACCAAGGCGACGAUCAGUAGCGGUCUGAGAGGAUGAUCAGCCACAUUGGGACUGAGACACGGCCCAAACUCCUACGGGAGGCAGCAGUGGGGAAUAUUGGACAAUGGGCGCAAGCCUGAUCCAGCCAUGCCGCGUGAGUGAUGAAGGCCCUAGGGUUGUAAAGCUCUUUUGUACGGGAAGAUAAUGAC